rnacentral:rRNA from 1 species
UACGUAGGGUGCAAGCGUUAAUCGGAAUUACUGGGCGUAAAGCGUGCGCAGGCGGUUCUAUAAGACAGAUGUGAAAUCCCCGGGCUCAACCUGGGAACUGCAUUUGUGACUGUAGAGCUGGAGUGCGGCAGAGGGGGAUGGAAUUCCGCGUGUAGCAGUGAAAUGCGUAGAUAUGCGGAGGAACACCGAUGGCGGAGGCAAUCCCCUGGGCCUGCACUGACGCUCAUGCACGAAAGCGUGGGGAGCAAACAGG